AUUGAACGCUGGCGGCAGGCUUAACACAUGCAAGUCGAACGAGUGGCGGACGGGUGAGUAAUGUCUGGGAAACUGCCUGAUGGAGGGGGAUAACUACUGGAAACGGUAGCUAAUACCGCAUACUAUCAGAUCUGCCCAGAUGGGAUUAGCUUGUUGGUGGGGUAAAGGCUCACCAAGGCGACGAUCCGUAGCUGGUCUGAGAGGAUGACCAGCCACACUGGAACUGAGACACGGUCCAGACUCCUACGGGAGGCAGCAGUGGGGAAUAUUGGACAAUGGGCGAAAGCCUGAUGCAGCCAUGCCGCGUGUAUGAAGAAGGCCUUCGGGUUGUAAAGGACUUGUGGCGGGGAGGCGGUAUCCGCAGAAGAAGCACCGGCUAACUCCGUGCCAGCAGCCGCGGUAAUAC
rnacentral:rRNA from 1 species